rnacentral:rRNA from 1 species
UACGAAGGGUGCAAGCGUUACUCGGAAUUACUGGGCGUAAAGCGUGCGUAGGCGGUUUGUUAAGUCCGUUGUGAAAGCCCUGGGCUCAACCUGGGAAUUGCAGUGGAUACUGGCAAGCUAGAGUACGGUAGGGGAUGGUGGAAUUCCCGGUGUAGCGGUGAAAUGCGUAGAGAUCGGGAGGAACACCCGUGGCGAAGGCGGCCAUCUGGACCAGUACUGACGCUGAGGCACGAAAGCGUGGGGAGCAAACAGG